CCAAAAAUUUGUCCAGACAUCUGAAUUAUUCAGCGAUGGAUAUCCCUGUGCUGACAUUGUGGUCAAUUAUUGUACUAGUUCAUCGAAUGUGGCAGAGCUGUGGAACCUGAUUGAACCAAGUGGCUGUAAAUUGAAAAUAAAUGAAGUCGCUUUAGUAUUUCAGUGUCUUGAACAAAUUUUGACAAGAAUUCGGACUGAUUUAUUCAAGAUGUCCUCAAUGGGUGAAGCUAUUGUACAAAGAUUGCUUGCUGCUCACAUGGGACAGGUCUAUAAUUGUCUUAGAGAUCAGAAUAAAUCUAAAACCAUCAAGUCAGCUGUCACAUUACUCAUUGCUAUGGUCCUGCUAAGUGACAAGUCUAAAAAGACUGUUUUAGCAAGGCUUAACUUUGGGCAUCAAAAUUUUCCUCCAUUGUUUAAACGAAGAAACAGAAAGGUAUUCAUUGUUUGUACUUUAAAAUGUAACUUUUAUCUGUAGCCAGCGUAGCACUUUCAUAUGUGACUUAUCAGUCUACUGCUGUAGAGUUUCUAUGAACUAUUGU
rnacentral:sRNA from 1 species